GUGUGCACGGGGUGUGUGUGUGUGCAUGCACGGGGGUGUGCGUGCAUGGAUGUGUGCAUGCACGGGGGUGCGUGUGCAUGCAUGGGGUGAGUGUGCAUGGAUGUGUGCAUGCACGGGGGUGCGUGUGCAUGCACAGGGGUGCGUGUGCAUGUAUGGGGUGAGUGUGCAUGGAUGUGUGUGCAUGCAUGGGGUGAGUGUGCAUGGAUGUGCGCGUGCAUGGGGUGUGUGUGUGCAUGGACAUAUGCAUGCACGGGGUGCGUGUGUGUGCAUGGGGGUGUGUGUGCAUGGACGUGUGCGUGCACAGUUUUGUGUGUGCAUGCACGGGGGUGUGUGCAUGGACGUGUGCAUGCACGGGGGUGCGUGUGCAUGGGCAGGAGCAUGCACUGUGUGUGUGCACAGUUGUGUGUGUGCAUGCAUGGGGGUGUGUGUGUGUGUACAGCUGUGCAUGGACGUGUGCAGGACUGUGUGUGCAAGCAGGGUGUGUGUGUGUGUGCACAGGCGUGUGCGUGCAGGGUGCAUGCGUGUGCACGGCUGUGCACGCAGGGUGUGCACGUGGAUGCGUGCAGGGCACGAGGGGGUGUGUGCACGUGUGCAGGGUGCGUGUGUGGGGCCGUGCAGGUCUGGGGCACGCGUGUAAGCGGGUGUGGGGCUGUGCAUGUGCUCGUGUGCGCACAGGGCUGCGUGCAUGUGCGUGCACAAGUGUGCGUGCAUGGAUGUGUGCGUGGCUCUGGGCGUGCAGGGCCGCGUGUGCACAUACGUGUCUAUAUGUGUGUGCAGGGCUGCGUGUGCACGCGUGGACAGGCGUGCACAGGACUCGGGCACGUGACGGGGCUGCGUGUGCACGGUCACGUGCGUGUGUGCACAGUCGCGUGCACACGUGUCCAUGUGCGGGGAUGCGCCUGGGCCUAGCCGUGUGCACACGUGCAUGGAAGUGUGUGUGUGUGCGUGGGGCUGCGUGUGCGCACGUGUGCGGGGCCCCUUGCACACGCAGGGGGUCGUGCAUGUGGUGCGAGGCUCCGCGUGUGCGUCCCCACGUGCGUGUGCCAGCAUGGGCACACGCGUGUGCAAGGGCCGUGCACACACCAGUGCACAGACCCCGUGUGCACGAGGGGGGUGUCAUGGGCGUGCGAGGACGGGGGGGACCCCAGCACCAACCGGGCCCCGACAGGGGAAACUGAGGCACCGCAGCGUCUGGGGGGGG
rnacentral:lncRNA from 1 species